rnacentral:lncRNA from 1 species
UAGACGAGCCUUACCCCUACCCGAAAGGGCAGAGAGGCUGUUUCCAAUAAUGAAACGGGAAUCACUAAAAGUAAAUAAAAAAGAUGAGGCAAUACAAUCAGAUCAAGAAAUGAAAAACAACAAAACAUCGCAAAAAUAAAGAAAACAGACAGUCGAUUUGAGUAUAGUAAGAAAUGAGAAAUAAAAGGAGGAGAAGGAUUACCGGAGGAGAAAUGGAAAGAUAAGUUUUGGGGUUUGGAUAAAACAAAGGAAUUUGAAAGAGCUGUCAUCUUCUUCUGAGCAAUGAGGAAGUUGUGAUUGUGGAGAAGACUGAACUGAAACAACUGAGAGAGGUAGUGAGGGACAGGGUCACAUUGGUUUGUUUCCCCCCUACCCACACCCACACCCCCGCCUUCGAUAAUAUCAAUGUGGUUUACUCCGACACCUGGACUUUUGUAAUUAUCAAUUAUUUAAAUAAAAACUAUUUACGUGUUUUCUGUAAUGAGUAAUCUGGAAAUAUACAAUAAACUCUAUAUCAUCUUCUCUGUUAUAAAAUAAUAUAAGAACAAGAAUAAUAGAGAGAAAAGUAGAGAGAGAA